UGGGGAAUAUUGCACAAUGGGCGCAAGCCUGAUGCAGCCAUGCCGCGUGUGUGAAGAAGGCCUUCGGGUUGUAAAGCACUUUCAGCGGGGAGGAAGGCGGUGAGGUUAAUAACCUCAUCGAUUGACGUUACCCGCAGAAGAAGCACCGUCUAACUCCGUGCCAGCAGCCGCGGUAAUACGGAGGGUGCAAGCGUUAAUCGGAAUUACUGGGCGUAAAGCGCACGCAGGCGGUUGAUUGAGUCAGAUGUGAAAUCCCCGGGCUUAACCCGGGAAUUGCAUCUGAUACUGGUCAGCUAGAGUCUUGUAGAGGGGGGUAGAAUUCCAUGUGUAGCGGUGAAAUGCGUAGAGAUGUGGAGGAAUACCGGUGGCGAAGGCGGCCCCCUGGACAAAGACUGACGCUCAGGUGCGAAAGCGUGGGGAGCAAACAGG
rnacentral:rRNA from 1 species